rnacentral:rRNA from 1 species
AUUGAACGCUGGCGGCAGGCCUAACACAUGCAAGUCGAGCGAGCGGCGGACGGGUGAGUAAUGUCUGGGAAACUGCUUGAUGGAGGGGGAUAACUGAUGGAGACGGUAGCUAAUACCGCAUACCAUCAGAUCUGCCCAGGUGGGAUUAGCUAGUGGGUGGGGUAACGGCCCACCCAGGCGACGAUCCCUAGCUGGUCUGUGAGGACGAACAGUCACACUGGAACUGAGACACGGUCCAGACUCCUACGGGAGGCAGCAGUGGGGAAUAUUGGACAAUGGGCGCAAGCCUGAUGCAGCCAUGCCGCGUGUGUGAAGAAGGCCUUCGGGUUGUAAAGCACUUUCAGCGGGGAGGCGUUACCAGCAGAAGAAGCACCGGCUAACUUCGUGCCAGCAGCCGCGGUAAUUC